rfam:Gymnopus luxurians FD-317 M1 unplaced genomic scaffold GYMLTscaffold_74, whole genome shotgun sequence.
UGCCCCAUGGCUGAGUUGGUUACAGCGUCCGACUGUUAUACUCCAUGGUGAAUAACAUACAUCGGAAGGUCGAGAGUUCGAGCCUCUCUGGGGCAG